UACGUAGGGUGCAAGCGUUAAUCGGAAUUACUGGGCGUAAAGCGUGCGCAGGCGGUUCGUUAAGUUCGGCGUGAAAGCCCCGGGCUCAACCUGGGAAUGGCGAUGGAAACUGGCGGGCUGGAGUGCGGCAGAGGGGGGUGGAAUUCCACGUGUAGCAGUGAAAUGCGUAGAGAUGGGGAGGAACACCGAUGGCGAAGGCAGCCCCCUGGGCCGACACUGACGCUCAGGCACGAAAGCGUGGGGAGCAAACAGG
rnacentral:rRNA from 1 species